rnacentral:rRNA from 1 species
GACGAACGCUGGCGGCGUGCUUAACACAUGCAAGUCGAACGGAAAGGCCCUGCUUGCGGGGUUCUCGAGUGGCGAACGGGUGAGUAACACGUGGGUGGUCUGCCCUGCACUUCGGGAUAAGCAUGGGAAACUGGGUCGAAUACCGGCUAGGAGACAUCUUGAGUGUGGUGGUUGGAAAGUUUUUUCGGUGUAGGAUGAGCUCGCGGGCUAUCAGCUUGUUGGUGGGGUAAUGGCCUACCAAGGCGGCGACGGGGAGCCGGCCUGCGAGGGUGUACGGCCACACUGGGACCGUGCUACAGCCCGGACUCCGACGGGAGGCAGCAGGGGCGAAGAUUGCACAAUGCGCCCCAGCCUGAUGCAGCGACGCCGCGUGGGCGUUGAAGGCCUUCAGGAUGUAAGCUCCUAUCGCUAGGUACGAAGCCUUUUUGUGACGGUACCUAGAUAAGAAGCACCGGCUAACUACGUG